UCGAUUUGGAGUUUGUUGCCCUGAGUGAUGGGCUCCGAAGCUAACGCGAUAAAUCGACCGCCUGGGGAGUACGGCCGCAAGGUUAAAACUCAAAUGAAUUGACGGGGGCCCGCACAAGCGGUGGAGCAUGUGGUUUAAUUCGAUGCAACGCGAAGAACCUUACCUGGUCUUGACAUCCACAGAAUCUUGCAGAGAUGCGAGAGUGCCUUCGGGAACUGUGAGACAGGUGCUGCAUGGCUGUCGUCAGCUCGUGUUGUGAAAUGUUGGGUUAAGUCCCGCAACGAGCGCAACCCUUAUCCUUUGUUGCCAUCGGUUUGGCCGGGAACUCAAAGGAGACUGCCGUUGAUAAAGCGGAGGAAGGUGGGGACGACGUCAAGUCAUCAUGGCCCUUACGACCAGGGCUACACACGUGCUACAAUGGCGUAUACAAAGGGAGGCGACCUCGCGAGAGCAAGCGGACCUCAUAAAGUACGUCUAAGUCCGGAUUGGAGUCUGCAACUCGACUCCAUGAAGUCGGAAUCGCUAGUAAUCGUGAAUCAGAAUGUCACGGUGAAUACGUUCCCGGGCCU
rnacentral:rRNA from 1 species